UGUUCAUGUUACAUAUGUCUACAAAAGAUUUCUUUGAAGAUGCUCACAGUGGAGACUAAGGAACUUGCAGAAAAACCCCCCUCAAACCUGAAACAGCAUCGUGUCCUUUCUUUUGAAACAAAGUAGUACAAGUUUUGCAACUUAUUCUAUUUGAAGUAGAAAAUAUGAUUGUAUUUGUGAGAUAAGAAAACUCUGAAUUUCUGAAAGGAGUGGUUACUGAACAAUAGCAAGAAACAAUUCCUUAGCUGUCUGUGCUAUUCCUUAAUAAUUAACCACUCUAAAACCAUUCACAAACACAAUAUUUGCAUCCUUGAUCAGGUAUUUAGAUACAUACUAUGACUGUUCAUAUCGUGUCACAGCUGUCACUGUAUUCCCCUGGUUUAAGCAGACGGAUAUUAUUUCUAGCUAGAAGAUAAUAUCUUCUGGUUCAUCUGUAUCAAAAAAAUUAUUUUCUUGAUCUAAACUUGGUUAUAUAACUGCAAGGAUUAAUCAAAUACACAGAAGCAAUUAGUAAAUAUGUGAAGCUUAUCAGAUUCAAUCAGUCACAUGUUAUAGGAAAAUGGAGAAAGCAAAAGUGUUUCAUACAAAACCAAGAAAUAUAUUAUUUGUACAAAAAGUAUCAACGGCAUAGUGUACAAAUGGUUUGCAGUAUGGUACGUUCACUUUGUGUUAUUAAAUGCAGGAGAAGUCAUGUAUUGAAAUCAUUUCUGUUAUUUCCAUACCAACUGUAGGUCAGUAAACGUGCUAUAAUAAUGACCAUUGGACUAAAAGUACCAAUACUAAAGAAAAAUUGGCAUCAGAUGUAUUGAAACAGCACUGCAGCAUCAAUCAAUAGCAAUGGAUCUAAACACUAGAUUAUUUCCGCCUAUAUAUGUGUGUGUGUGUGUGUGUGUGUUCUGAGUGUAGGUUGUUACAAGUCUACUUUUACUGCUAUUUUACACUCUUACUCCUGUGCAACUGUAGUUACUCUAGUGCAGCUAAUGGCAUGGACAAAAGCAAAAAUCCAAAAAUCAGAGAACUACCAGGUGAGGUCUGACUAUCCAAGUAAGUUAUGGAUAAAACAAAAGGUACCUAUCUUAUUUUCGGAGUUUACAAUAGAAAUUGGUUGUUCUUGAUUGCUCUACAUCCUAAUCUUCUUUUUAAUCUCCAAGUUAUCAAGUCCCCUCAAAGAAAUCGGUAAUAUUUUCUUAUAUACUUCAUUUUACUUCAUCUGCCUUUUUUUUCCUUCAAAGUAGACCGACUUUGUUAGGGCUUUUUUUUUUUUUUUUGGUAUGUGAAUUGCAGGCUUUGUUUUUGCCUAUGAGAGCUGAGGCUGAAUAAAAUCCUGCUUAAGAUUAGCUUAAUGGAUAUAUUGUCUGGUUAGCCUUUAUAUCAUUCUUCAAAGUUAGCAACUUUUGUAUGACAUUUUUGGUAGGUUUUCAUUUUUCAUUGAAACUGCUAACUGCUAAGCAAACUUUGUUUUAUUUUGUUACACAGAUUUUCAGGUUUGUUUGAUUUAAUGGAUACCAAUAGUAGGAGGCCUCCUCAAGUCCAAGUACCCUCAUCGGACACACUGGAUUGUAGGAGUUGUUUUCAGCCAGAUUCAUGACGUAGAAUUGUCAACAAGAUGCAAGUAUAUACGCAUGGGAAGAAUCAAAGCUAUAAACCAUGCCCUCAUACCAUGAGGACAAUACAUAUAAUACACAAAGAAUUGAUGUGCUAAAGAGAAGCCCCUCCCAUAGUCAAAUGGGAUCACCAGAACUCAAGAGGAUCACUGUAACAUUUGAGGAGAAGUUAUAACUGUUGCCUCAGCCCUCAAGCCAGUCAGAGUAUCUACGAAAACUUUCUCUGAAGAUGCUCGUCUGGGACACCAAGCUUUGUGGCCCCUCCAACCUGAAACGGCAUCGUGUCGUUGCUUUUGGCCCAGAUGAAUAGAAUUUCUGUAAGUUGUAUAUGAUUGUACUUUUGAGGGAUUACUGAACAAUAGUAAGAAACAAUUCCUGAGCUGCCUGCUGUAAUAUUCUUCAACAAUUAAGUCAAUAUAGUUAUACAGAGACACGAUAUUCAUGUC